rnacentral:lncRNA from 1 species
AUUGAACAGCAACGAGCUUUGGCAGCUGGAGUGAGGUAUCCAGUACAGAAUGAAUAAAGUAAAAUGAAAGAAAUGGUGAUUAGAUCAUGUAUUAAGAAUUUUUUUCUUUUCUACUUUUCAUGUUAAAUCUUUUCUAGUUUCGUAAGGCUGAGGGCACAUCUUUCCUGUUUUAGACAAACCAAGUUAAACAUAUCUUUUUUACUUGGUUGGGUAGGGAAUAGAAAAAAAAGGGGGGGCUCACUAGAUUGUGUGGAUUCUCUUAUUUAUGUGGUAGAUUCUCUACUCAUUUUUUUUGAAUUAAAGUGGAUCAAAUCUAUUGAA